rnacentral:rRNA from 1 species
GUCAGGCGGGACUACCCGCUGA